rnacentral:lncRNA from 1 species
GAAAAACUACGGACGGCAAGAUCANGUCGGGACAGCGGGAACUGAAGACGGCCUGUAAACUGAUUAAAUGCCGUGUGGGAACGCGGCCAACGUCUCGCAAUCCCUGUUCUCCUAAGGGCGCGUCUUUGGGAAGAUUUCUGCAAAUAAACCUGGCCAGAGAGUUUACACGUGCGUCUUUCCUGCAUCCCAGAUAGGGAGAGGCAGUGGUAGGAAAAAACGUUCAGAAAAGAGAGCGAAAAAAACCAGAACACACCAUCUCCCUGCUGCUAAGCCUUUAUAAGGGCAAAACUUUGAAAACUACUGAACCGCUGGGAAGAAGGUUGGACGCAAAANCUUCGAGGUUCCUCCCGCUUCCUCCGCGCUUAUCAAGCCGCAGGAUCAAGGCUGGGGGGAGGGGGAAGUGAUCCGGAUUGCCCCCGAGUCUCUGGGUGGGCGUGAGCAAGGCGAGAGAAAGUCACUCCUGCAGGGUGGGUGUUAGGAGCCCCCCCCUCCCUCCCCGCAGCCAACCCCUCCGGCAGCCUCGCGCGCCCCUGGGAGAUCCCACCCGCUCCUCGUCGUUCCGCCCCGGGUGGGGGGCUCGCUUGGCUUUGUUCGGCGCCCGGAGGGAGGCGCCCCGCCGCCGCGAGCGCAAAGUUUGGAGAGGCUCCUUUGCGCAAGCGGGCGCCGCUUUUGCACAGACAGGGCGAGUGCGGCGGGGCGCGCGUCCUCCUCCUCCUCCUCCUCCUCCCGGCGUUGCAGGCUACGAGCAGCAGCGCGCUUGCUUGCUGGGCUUCCCCUCGGCUGCAGCCCGACCCGCGUUGCUGCCGGCGUUCCCGUCCGCUCCUUGCCUUCGUCUCCGUCCGCCGCUCUUCCCCGCGCGCGCUCCUCCGCUUCCCUGCCUGCCCAGGUGCGCGGUACCUUCUGGAGACGGGAGCAGCUCGCUCGCGCCGCGCGCCAGCCCGGGACGGAGCAGAAGCGAAGCGAGGUGAAGCUGGUAGAGCUCCAGUGUACGAGCCCUCUGUGUGGGAAAAGAAAAAUCNCAGGGGAAGCCAUCUGCCGCUGAGAACUACCCAUUUUUCCUGUCUGUGAAAGGUAUGGUGGAGUUGCUUGCGUGUGUCUGCUGGUUGCAGAAGUCUCCGUUUUAUCCUGUGAUUCCGUCCUACCGCCCCUGCCAGACGCCGGAGGCAACUGUGGG